rnacentral:lncRNA from 10 species
AGCCCCCGGACAUCCCAACCACAGCCCAAGUGUUCUGAAAGUGGCCCCAGCCACACCUGCCUUCAGGGCGAGGGCUUGUUCCUCACUGACUCCUGCUGCUCCCAGCAAGACCCACUUCCGGGUCUGCAGGGAGAGGCCCUAAGGGCACAGAGGUGGACAAAGGGCUGCCUGCAUCACUUUAUCUUUUCUACUUUAUUACUUCAAAUUAACAACCACGAUAAAGCUCAAAAAAGUCCAAUAUUUACACAGGAAAAAAGUACAAAAUUCCCCCCAAAGUUCUUCAGUUUUUUUUUUUUCAGUUUUUUAAAUUACAAAGUAAUAAAAAGCUUUGCUCUUUAAUUAAAAAAAAAAAGGAAAAAGGGGAAACAGAGGUAAAUAAAUUAGGAAAACACACACACGGAGAAAACAAACAAAAAUAAAAUAAAAUAAAAACAAAAAGGUGUUAACUAGGAAGGAUGGGUUAAUCCAAAACCCAGCCCUGACUCCAGGGGGACAAUGGAAAAGCCCAGCACGGGAAGUCAGCCACUGUCAUCUCAGAGUGGGUGGGGCUGUGCGUAUCUCCUGGAUUCUGAGGCUCGGAAAACUCGGUGGGAACUGCCUUCAACUGACUACACCACUCCCUGAUGAUGCUUGAGGGCCGGCUUUGGCUCUGGGACCUGUCACUUCUCCGACACGGACCCGACCCGUUCCUCUCCAGGCAGGUGGUGGGUGGGGGCAGGAACAGGAGGCCGGGCAGGCCCUGGCGUCUGGCUCCUGUAGCCUGGUGUUGUCAGGGGAGCAUCUGGCAGCCUGAAGGUUGGGGGCAGCGGGCACCACAAGGGGGCAAGAAUCCUCAGUGCUGAGGGCAUCUCAUCUUCUUGCCAUUGGCAAAGAAAUCAAAGAAACAAACUCCAUCGUCGGUUUUGUGCUGGGUUUUUUUGUUGUUCUUUUGAGUGGUUUAUUUUUGCC